rnacentral:rRNA from 1 species
AUUGAACGCUGGCGGCAUGCCUUACACAUGCAAGUCGAACGGCAGCACGGGUGCUUGCACCUGGUGGCGAGUGGCGAACGGGUGAGUAAUACAUCGGAACAUGUCCUGUAGUGGGGGAUAGCCCGGCGAAAGCCGGAUUAAUACCGCAUACGCUCUACGGAUGAAAGCGGGGGACCUUCGGGCCUCGCGCUAUAGGGUUGGCCGAUGGCUGCUUAGCUAGUUGGUGGGGUAAGGGCCUACCAAGGCGACGGUCAGUAGCUGGUCUGAGAGGACGACCAGCCAGACUGGGACUGAGACACGGCCCAGACUCCGACGGGAGGCAGCAGUGGGGAAUUUUGGACAAUGGGCGAAAGCCUGAUCCAGCAAUGCCGCGUGUGUGAAGAAGGCCUUCGGGUUGUAAAGCACUUUUGUCCGGAAAGAAAUACUUGGCCCUAAUACGGUCGGGGGAUGACGGUACCGGAAGAAUAAGCACCGGCUAACUACGUG